AGCGGCCAGAGCAUGGGGGGGCACGCCCGGUCCCGUUCCGAACCCGGAAGCUAAGCCCCAUCGCGCCGAGAGUACUGCGGGGUCAGCCCGUGGGAGGCCAGGGCGUCGCUG
rnacentral:rRNA from 1 species